rnacentral:rRNA from 1 species
AGAGAGAGACAUGCGCGCAUAUCAAUAAGCGGAGGAAAAGAAACUAACUAAGGAUUCCCUCAGUAACGGCGAGUGAAGCGGGAAGAGCUCAAAUUUGAAAUCUUCAAGGUUCUACCUUGACGAAUUGUAGUUUAAAGAAGUGUUUUCUGUUGGAGUUUUGGUAAAAGUUCUUUGGAAUAGGACAUCAUAGAGGGUGAGAAUCCCGUAUUUGACCAUUAUUUCCAGCUUUGUGAUACACUUUCAAAGAGUCGGAUUGUUUGGGAAUGCAGUCCAAAAUGGGUGGUAAAUUUCAUCUAAAGCUAAAUACUGGCGAGAGACCGAUAGCGAACAAGUACCGUGAGGGAAAGAUGAAAAGAACUUUGAAAAGAGAGUUAAACAGUACGUGAAAUUGUCAAAAGGGAAGCGUUUGACACCAGUGUUGUUUUUCUGAAAAUCAAUUAAAAGGAACUGAUUUAUGCUAGUUGUAUUAGACUUUAUCAGCUAACUGUUUAGUUUUGAUCUUUUCUUUAAUGCACUUUUCAGUUAACAAGUCAACAUCAAUUUCUUUUGCUGUAAAAAAGCUUGAGGAAGGUGGCUUGAGAUUCGUCUUAAGUGUUUAUAGCCUCUUGCCUAUGCAGUCGGAGAGAUUGAGGUCUGCAGCGUAGAUCCUUCGGGGCUAAAUGCAUUUGUGCUAAGUUAUAGCAUUUUAUAGACAACUUGUUGACUAUGAUUAGUCUUGUAGCUUACUCGCUUAUGUUAUUUUACCUACGCUUAGGAUGUUGAUGUGAUACUGCGAGC